CAGUGCGGGGACAGCGCGGGGGGAGCGCCGGCUCGUGCAGGGGGGAGCGGGCGGGCACGAGGGCGAGCGAGGCCCCAGCGUUUCUCGUUGUCUCCCGCAGGAUGAAGACCAUCCUCAGCAACCAGACUGUGGACAUCCCCGAGCAAGUGGGAGUGUCGCUGAAGGGCCGCACGGUCAUUGUGAAGGGGCCCCGAGGAACAUUGAGGAGGGAUUUUAACCACAUCAAUGUGGAG